rnacentral:misc_RNA from 1 species
AAUCAUCUCCAGUUUUUGUCAGACCCUUAGUAAUAACUAAAAGAGACAGAUCCAUGCGGUUCAGAAGAAGAUCUGAAAUAGUAUUCUUGACGUACUGAACAGCACCAGGAACAUCUCUGUCUACUAGUAUUUUAUAAAGACACUCGGUUACAAGGUUCUUGACUAAGAGACAAUUAUCCCUUCGAACAGUUUCAAUCCCUUUAGCAUCCAUUUUGUCAUGUUUGUCCGGAUUUGUCCAAAGAAGGCCAGCAUAUCUCUUCUUGCUAA